rnacentral:rRNA from 1 species
UACGUAGGGUGCGAGCGUUAAUCGGAAUUACUGGGCGUAAAGCGUGCGCAGGCGGUUGGCAAAGUCAGCUGUGAAAGCCCCGGGCUUAACCUGGGAAUGGCGGUUGAAACUAGUCGACUAGAAUCUGGCAGAGGGGGGUGGAAUUCCACGUGUAGCAGUGAAAUGCGUAGAGAUGUGGAGGAACACCUGUGGCGAAGGCGGCCCCCUGGGCCGGCCCUGACACUGAGACGCGAAGGCGUGGGGAGCGAACGGG